AAUUGUAUAGGCAAACAUUUGUUGCAGGUGGAUUCGGAUUUGGUAGAAUUUGAAUUGGUGGAGGGAAUCAUCACCGGAGUUCGUCUCGAUACCAAAAAUAUACAUUAAAGCUCCUGGGCAAGCCCGAUAGACAGAUCAAAGCGCCACUGAUACGGUGGCUGGGGCCACGACCUCCAAGAGAAAAAUGGGCACCAUGGGAAAGUUAUAAUAACCGUGGAUUAUCUCAAAGCGCCACUGAUACCGUGGCUGGGGCCACGACCUCCAAAAGAAAAAUGGGCACCAUGGGAAAGUUAUAAUAACCGUGGAUUCGGAUUUGGUAGAAUUUGAAUUGGUGGAGGGAAUCAUCACCGGAGUUCGUCUCGAUACCAAAAAUAUACAUUAAAGCUCCUGGGCAAGCCCGAUAGACAGAUCAAAGCGCCACUGAUACGGUGGCUGGGGCCACGACCUCCAAGAGAAAAAUGGGCACCAUGGGAAAGUUAUAAUAACCGUGAGUAUUGUCAUUCUAAUAUAAUCAAAAACAGCUUUGAAUUGUAUAGGCAAACAUUUGUUGCAGGUGGA